GGAGAGAGGGAAGGAAGGAAAGGAUAUUAUGGAAUUGAAAAGGAAGGGAAAGGAAGGGAAGUGAAUGGAAGGGAAUAGGAGAAGAAUAGGAAAGGGAGGGAAGGGGAGGGAGGAAAGGGAAGGGAGAGAGAGAAGAGGAAGGAGAUGAUAAUGGAAAAGAAGGGAAGGAAUGCAAAAAGAAAAGAAGUUAAGGAAAGGAAAAGAAAGUGAAGGGAAGAGAAAAUAUUUAAGUGAAGGGCAAAUACUUAGAAGAUGACGAAGAAAAUAGUAGUAGUAGUAGUAGAAGAACAGGAGGAAGAAAACGAAGUAGAAUAGAAAGAAAAAGAAAAGGAAAAAAACGAUAACGAAAAAAUAACAAGAAAAUGAAGAAGAGGACGAAGAAAACGAAGAAAAAGAAAAACAAAAAUAAUAACAAGAAGAAAAAGAAGAAGAGGAAGAAGAAAACGAAGUAGAAAAGAAGAAGAAAGGAGAAGAAAACGAAGAAAAGGAGGAGGAAGAAGUUGAAGAAAGAGAAAAAAAAAAAAGAGGGAGGGGGAGAGGGAGAAGGGAAGGAAGGGAGGAAGAAGUAGAAGAAGAAGAAGAAAGAAAAAGAAGAGGGAGGGAGAGAGGAAUAGGCGUGUUGGGAGCGUGCCAAGAAGGGCGCUAGGCAGUCAGUUUUAUGUGGAGUGUGAGACAGGCCACACUACCACUAACACCCCUAACACUACCACUAACACCCCUACCACUAACUGCGCGGAGGUGGUGGUGGUGACGUAAGGGGAACAGACAGAAACAGUAACAAGUUAAAACCGUCACCCCGUCACAAACAACAUCAGUGUAUAGAGAAGGCAGAGUUUGAUUAUGAAAAAGACCUGAGUUGUUCAAAGAGAUAAAACGAAGAUUGAAGAUUGUGAACUUGAAAUGACUUAGAAAAUAAACUUAGCUAUUGUGAAUUGAACUGAAGAUUGAAGUUUAG